rnacentral:rRNA from 1 species
UUUUUUAAUUGAAAACUGGGAUGAAUGGUAGAUACUGAUAGGAUUGUUUUAUUUUAUAAAUUUGAAUUUAGAUUAAAAUUAAAAAUAUUUUUAUAAAUUCUUGGGACGAGAAGACCCUAGAAGCUUAAAAUUUAAUAAUUUUUAAUUGGGGCAAUUUUUGAAGAAAAAAAUUUUUAAUAAGUAAAGGUAAAUUUUAUAUAGUUACUCUAGGGAUAACAGCGUAAUUUAAUUGGUAAGUUCUUAUUAAUAAUAAAGUUUGCGACCUCGAUGUUGAAUUAAUU